AUUUAAAUAGUUUAUUUUGAAAAUAUUGAUUUGUGGAGUCAAAGAUAUGUAUUUAACAUUUUAAAUC
rnacentral:tRNA from 1 species